rnacentral:rRNA from 1 species
ACAUGCAAGUCGAACGAAGUAGCAAUACUUAGUGGCAGACGGGUGAGUAACAUGUAGGUAUCUGCCCUUUGGCCUGGAAUAACACGAGGAAACUUGUGCUAAUACCGGAUAAGUCUUUACGGAGAAAGCUUUAUGCACCAUUGGAUGAGCCUGCACUUGAUUAGUUUGUUGGUAGGGUAAUGGCCUACCAAGACUGUGAUCAAUAGCUGAUUUGAGAGGAUGAUCAGCCACAUUGGGACUGAGACACGGCCCAAACUCCUACGGGAGGCAGCAGUGGGGAAUCUUGCACAAUGGAGGAAACUCUGAUGCAGCGAUGCCGCGUGAGUGAAGAAGGCCCUUGGGUUGUAAAGCUCUUUCGUCGGGGAAGAAAAUGACUGUACCCGAAUAAGAAGGUCCGGCUA